CAGAGGGUGCGAGCGUUAAUCGGAAUUACUGGGCGUAAAGCGAGUGUAGGUGGCUCAUUAAGUCACAUGUGAAAUCCCCGGCUACCUGGACGUGCAUGUGAUACUGGUGGUGCUAGAAUAUGUGAGAGGGAAGUAGAAUUCCAGGUGUAGCGGUGAAUGCGUAGAGAUCUGGAGGAAUACCGAUGGCGAAGGCAGCUUCCUGGCAUAAUAUUGACACUGAGAUUCGAAAGCGUGGGUAGCAAACAAGGAUU
rnacentral:rRNA from 1 species